rnacentral:rRNA from 1 species
AUUGAACGCUGGCGGCAGGCCUAACACAUGCAAGUCGAGCGGCGGCGGACGGGUGAGUAACGCGUAAAGAACUUGCCUCACAGGUAGGGACAACAUUUGGAAACGAAUGCUAAUACCUAAUACUGUGAGAGAGCUUUGCGUCCCAUUAGCUAGUUGGAGAGGUAACGGCUCACCAAGGCGAUGAUGGGUAGCCGGCCUGAGAGGGUGAUCGGCCACAAGGGCACUGGGACACUGCCCUUACUCCUACGGGAGGAAGCAGUGGGGAAUAGUGGACAAUGGACCAAAGUCUGAACCAGCCAUUCUGUGUGCAAGAUAAAGUUUUCGGAAUGUAAAGUGCUUUCAUUUGGGAAGCGGUACCAACAGAAGAAGUGACGGCUAAAUCCGUGCCAGCAGCCGCGGUAAUAC